rnacentral:lncRNA from 1 species
UGCUGAAUCAAGCUUUGUCCUUUCGAACUUUGCAGUGGUUGUAAAUGUUUUCAGAUUUUUACAACUCCCUUUUCCUUACUGAAGAGCAGGCGAAAUUUCAGAAACUCUCAUGUUUGAAGUGGCAUUGUAAAGCAAUCUUAAUGUGGCCCUUGCCAACCUGCUCCAAGUGACUGAGAGGAAGGCUUGGAGCUGAUGACAUCCAGAGAUCCAUACCAACAUCAACUAUUCUGUGAUUUAACGAUUUUAAUAUCUGAGAAACAGAACAUUAUAACUUUUAUUUUCAGUUGUAU